rnacentral:misc_RNA from 1 species
GUUGGUUUAGAGUUUUUUCAGAUACCUAUUGUUUGUUUGAGUUCCCAGAAGCUAAAUUUAUGGUGGGGCUUCAGAGUAGAUUAUCAAGAUUGUGUCUUUUGUAAAUUGAUUGACCUUUGGGGUAGUAGUUGAGGUGAUUUAAGGUUGUGUCUUCGGGGGUUUAGUUUUGGUAUGGGGCAUAGUGCUUGAAGUUUACAGAUUAGGGUUUAUGUGAGGCUGGAUAUGGUGCUUUAGAGGUGAAAAGAUCUUAUUUUGGGUAGUUUUCAGAAGAUGGGUAGUAGCAAUGACCAUUGUUUUGUGGAAUGGAAGGAACAAUUUGUUUCUAAGGAGAGGGGACAUCGCGUGGUUCAUUAUUUCUUGAAGGAUAUUUCAGGGGAAUUUAUUCUUGCUGUUGUGGGAACUGAGAGGAGUGUUAGGCAUAUGUUUUAUGUCGUCUCCGAAGAGUUCUUGAAAGCUUAUGCAGGUGAGGACUCUGUCUAUGCUGGCUUCAGAUGGAGGUCAAGGAGAGAAGUGGUGAAUUGGCUCACAUCUAUGCUAUCAAAACAACACUUACAAAGUGAUUUUUCAAAAUCACCGAAAGAUGACCCUAUGUCUCCAUUAUUCAGUGUCCAAUCAACAGAUAUGACAAGUAACAAGGUUUCCAUCACAAGAAACUUGAGAGUUCAUUCUUCCGACAUAGUUUGGUCAGGUGAACCAUGGAUAUGUAGUAAACAGCUCAAACACUACCCAACAUUUUCCCGGAAUGGGAUUACAAUUGCUGUACAUGCAUUCGUCUUUGUCAUGGCUGAAAAGGAAAAUCAGUACCUUGCAUAUCUUGAAGAUAUGUAUGAGGACCGGAAGGGCCAGAAAAAAGUCAAAGUGAGAUGGUUUCACUUUAAUAGGGAAGUGAGAGGGGUUGUCUCUUUAAGAAAUCCUCAUCCUAGAGAAGUUUUCAUCACUCCUUAUGCUCAGGUCAUUAGUGCAGAGUGUAUUGAUGGUCCGGCCAUUGUCUUAACUCGGGAACAUUAUGAGAAAUGUGUAGCUGUUUUCCCAAAUGACUUGCUAACAAGAGUACAUUUUUGCUUCAGACAAUUCAAGGGCAACAGAGUAAAACCUUUUGAAUUAGGUAAAUUGCGCGGUUACCUUGAUCAAUCAAUUUUCUCAUGUUUCAGUCCAGAUUUCUUUGAAGACGAAGAAUUUAGUGCCAAGGAUGAUGUAAAAGUUGGAGCUAAAAGGCCAAGAAAGAAGUAUAAGGAGCAUCAGAUGACAGCAUAUGAAGAGUCUUACAAGAAGUUCAAAAAUGGUUUUUUAAGCAGGAAAUUUUACUCCAAUAAGCAUGUUGGAAGUGAGCUCUGGUAUGCUCCUAAGUUAGUGGUUAACGAGAAGAUAGAAUGUCUGAGCCAAGAUAGUGGGAUCCGUGGCUGCUGGUUCAGAUGCACUAUUGUGGAAAUAUCCCGGAGACAGAUGAAGAUAAAGUAUGAUGAUAUUAAGGAUGAAGAUGGAUGUGGAAACCUUGAGGAAUGGAUCCCUACAUUUAGACUAGCCAAGCCUGAUAAACUUGGAAUGAGAAACUCUAACCGUCCAACAAUCAGGCCUUCCCGCUCUUGUGACCUGGAAGAUCUUGCCUUUGAUGUGGGAGCACCUAUUGAUGCCUGGUGGAGUGAUGGUUGGUGGGAAGGAAUAAUUGUCGACGCAGACAAAUCAGAAAAGGAAACCUAUAGAGUUUAUGUUCCUGGUGAGAGGAUGUUCUUGAAUAUAGAUAGGAAGAAUCUAAGAAUCUCAAGGGAUUGGGUGGGAGAUCGAUGGGUAGAUAUCGAGACAAACAGAGACAUUCUUUCAAUGAUAUCUUUGAUCCAAGAAACCAAGAUUUCUGUAUCAUCAAGUAUUAAUUCAGAGCGCCAGCGAGCUAGUACUAUGGAUCAUAAAAUUCACGCGAGUAGUGUGGAUGAAGAAGCUGCUCGUGGUUCUACAGAAGCAAGAUCAGUUGAUCACCAUUCAAAACAUUCAAUCGGUGUCAAUAAUGAGAAGCAAGAAGAUGACAUUACAGAAAAGCGACUAACUGAUAACUCCUCUAGAGAUAUAGACUUGAUUAAGGAUGAGAAGCACGCAACUGAAAACAAAUCCGAUGAGAAUGAUUGUAAUAACAGCAGCAGCAGUGGCAGCGACAAGCAUGACUUAGACUGCCAACUUAGCGAUGAUAAUGAUUCUUACAACACGGAUAUUGACAAGGACAGCAAUGUGGAAAAAUCAUCAGAACCUGAGAUUGAUGGGGGGAAAUGCGAGACAGAAGUAAUGGAUAUAGUGGCGUGAUGUAUUACCACCGAAACAGAUUCCAGUUUGUUGCCAGGUACUGAUGCUGUUCAACUGUACAUAGAGAUGGAAAUCGAAUGAGGUUUGCUCGUAGUGUUAGGGAUCGAGUGUCUUAGGUGUACAGGUUAUCAUUAGUUCCCACUACUUCAUUAGAAUCUGGAGAUGCUUUAGCAAAUUAUAAACUCUCUAAUUACUAGGAUCUUCUACAAUAUCUGUAACGUUCCUCUAUCGAGUCAAAUUGUUUUGCAAGUGUGUUGCGCACAGUGUAA